UUCUUGGCUGAAAGAUGGCGUAAGCUAUCGCUUUUGGAUGGACCCGCGGCGUAUUAGCUAGUUGGUGAGGUAACGGCUCACCAAGGCAAUGAUACGUAGCCGAACUGAGAGGUUGAUCGGCCACAUUGGGACUGAGACACGGCCCAAACUCCUACGGGAGGCAGCAGUAGGGAAUCUUCCACAAUGGACGCAAGUCUGAUGGAGCAACGCCGCGUGAGUGAAGAAGGCUUUCGGGUCGUAAAACUCUGUUGUUGGAGAAGAAUGGUCGGCAGAGUAACUGUUGUCGGCGUGACGGUAUCCAACCAGAAAGCCACGGCUAACUACGUGCCAGCAGCCGCGGUAAUACGUAGGUGGCAAGCGUUAUCCGGAUUUAUUGGGCGUAAAGCGAGCGCAGGCGGUUUUUUAAGUCUGAUGUGAAAGCCCUCGGCUUAACCGAGGAAGUGCAUCGGAAACUGGGAAACUUGAGUGCAGAAGAGGACAGUGGAACUCCAUGUGUAGCGGUGAAAUGCGUAGAUAUAUGGAAGAACACCAGUGGCGAAGGCGGCUGUCUGGUCUGUAACUGACGCUGAGGCUCGAAAGCAUGGGUAGCGAACAGGAUUAGAUACCCUGGUAGUCCAUGCCGUAAACGAUGAAUGCUAGGUGUUGGAGGGUUUCCGCCCUUCAGUGCCGCAGCUAACGCAUUAAGCAUUCCGCCUGGGGGAGUACGACCGCAAGGUUGAAACUCAAAGGAAUUGACGGGGGCCCGCACAAGCG
rnacentral:rRNA from 1 species